AUGUCCAUGGGUAUCGAAACAUUCUAUCAUCUUCAGCCUCUUUGUCAAGCAAAUUCUUACUCCGGCCCAGUUGAUGGCGAUAGUGUUCCAUUAGUUGUUUACCCACUACCACGAAACACUAGGAAGUUGGCAACGGUAGCAUCAUCUGUUACCAACGUUCAUGAACCUAUGGAUAAGAGAGAGUGGCUUCAAAAAGUCACAGGUUUUCAGGCAUGCUGUCGAGGAUACUUGGUGCGAAAGACCAUUAAAUGUGCUCGAGACGAAUACGAAGAUAUUGCAAAAGAGAUAGAGGGAGAUCUAAAUGACUUGCAUUGGAGAGGGGCUGUAAUUCAGAUCCCUGCUUUCUCUGAAGUGAACAUCUCGUUUUGGGGGCAUGAUAGACAUGUCAAAGUCCGCUCUUACACGCAACCUGACCGUGAAGCGGCGGAUGAACGCAAACCCACUCACAUUGAGGUGAUUGUGCCGGAGAGAGACACUGUCCCCAGUGACAGCACAGAAGGAGUCUCCAGCCUGCUGGAGAAGGAGACAUCCAGCCUGUUGGUGAAGGAGACAUCCAGCCUGUCAGACCGAGGAGGAGAGAGUGAACCAUGCCAGGGAGAGGCAAGGGAGCAGGGACACACGAAAAGCAUUGAAGACACCACUGCCGCUUUGAGUCGAUUAGGAUUGGAUCCAAGCAUUUUAGAGAGAAGCUCUCUUCGGCGCUCCCUGGACAAAGACCCUCCUCGGACACGUGAGGAGGCACGAAUGCUCCGCAACAAACUUGCCAUGGAGCUGCUGUGGAUCCAGCAGGCCAUCGCCAGCCGCAAGAAAUACUUGACCCUGAGGAACAACCUGGAGGACGGAACACGGCAAUCGAGUGCAGCUGCUUCAAGAUGAGGGACACAAGCUCUGAGAAAGUCCUGUAGUCAGUGAGGGAUUGACACAAAAUCAUAACUUGGAUGACGACAUUUGUAUAAUUUAAAUGAACUGAAAAUAUGUGAUUUGUGAAAAGUUGUGCUUUCUUUGCCCAUGAAUAGUGUUUGUAUAUAGAGUGUAUAUUUUGUUUACAUAAUAGAAUUUGUACUUUAAUAAAAUAAUUAUGUUUACAUAUAACUGUUUAUCU
ensembl:lncRNA